ensembl:miRNA
UCUCUGUUGCCUCCUGGAAACAACAUCCUGAUGCUGUCUGGGUGUGAAAAGCAGAACUCCAGCAUCAGUGAUUUUGUUGCCAAGGGGACGACUUU